GUGGCUCAGUGGGUAGGGCACCAGCCCCACAUGCUGAGGGUGGCUGGUUCAAAUCCAGCC
rnacentral:tRNA from 1 species